UACAGAGGGUGCAAGCGUUGUUCGGAAUUAUUGGGCGUAAAGGGCGCGUAGGCGGUGCGGUAAGUCUGCAGUGAAAUCUCUGGGCUCAACUCAGAGUCUGCUGUGGAAACUGCCGUGCUUGAGUGUGGGAGAGGUGAGUGGAAUUCCCGGUGUAGCGGUGAAAUGCGUAGAUAUCGUUUGGAACGCCAAUGGUGAAAACAGGUUGCUGGGAGUGUGCUGACGCUGAGACACGAAAGCCAGGGGAGCAAACGGG
rnacentral:rRNA from 1 species